ensembl:lncRNA
AUUGUACUAAACAGACACUUACACUGAAAGUUCCACAUGCUUACUUUUAUUUUUAUUUUUAUUUUUUUAUUUAUUAUUUUUUUUGCUCACUCAGCCUCAUAUCAAUAUUGAGCGCUGCGUGACAUUUAACCUAGUUACACUUUUACUUAUGGCAGAGAACAGAUAAAAACUAUGGCAGCCAGAGCUGACCUACAAGAUAUGCCUUUUCCAGAAGCUGAUUUAACUAUUGUUUGUUGAUGGUUCAAGCAAAUAAACCUUGAACGCAUAGCCACUACUUCCACACUAUUCCGCACAAGCAGCAGAACUGAUUUCCCUGAUUGCGCAUACACACAUGCAAAAGACCCGGUUUCAUUAGGAAACCAAAAAGCUGACAAGGCCACUAACCAGGCCGCACUACAACAACCAUCUGACACGUACACAAUUGAAGAAUUAGAUCUCACAAUACUAAAAGAUAUGCUGUAAUAUUGAGCCAUGGUAAAAACAUGCCUCAAUAAGUGGGGAUAGUAAGCAUAUAUUUAUACUUCUUAUUUAUAUUUCAUGAGAAAGAUGUUUAAUCAUUCAUUAUUGAUUUUAUUGAGUUAAAUCCCAACGAAAGAAAGAAAUAUUGUCUAGCCAUAGACAGCCAUUGUUCAUACAACCCCCAGUCAGCAGGACUGGUAAAAAAGAAUGAACCAAACUAUUAAAAGUUAAUUGAGAAUCCAAGAGUGAAAUUAGUGAAAUUAAGCAUGCAUGUUGUUAUCACUGUUUGAAAUGAUGUAUGGAAGAAUCUACACUGCCUAAACUCUCAAACUAUUUGCUGAAACAGACAAAGAGAUUGAAUAUACAUUUGCAGAAUAUAUGGCAAAGAUGAUGUCGAAACUAAAUGCUCUCAGACUUCUCUCCCCUACACAGGAACACUGUGAGGCUGAAUUCAAGGUUGGACCAGGAGAUUGUGUCCUACAACAGCCUCAAAAGAAAACACUGCCAUUCGCCCAAGUGGGACAGACCACAACAAGUGCUACUGUCAACACCUACCGCAGUCAAAAUAGCUGAUAGAGCCACGUGGAUACUUCUGGCUCAAUGCAAACGGGUCCAAGACUCACCAGUACCUGAGGAACGUUCCAAUGCAUUCCGUACGAGGGAGGAGAGAAGCAGGGGAUGACAGCGGGAUCUGGUCUGAUGGCCUGGGCAUUCCCUGAGGCAUUCCAGACCACUACAAAGCCUUGAACCCAGCAGCCAAUGGCCUGGCAUCUACACUCUGCCCCUGGUGCGUCAUCGGAGCACACACAGAUUGGAUUAACUUCCUUUACUACGCUGAGAUGAAGUUCCAGAACCUGACCACAGACGGACUACAAAAGAUCAGAGAAGAACUACACGCCAACUCCAGGUUAACGCGGCAAAACACAACCGUGCUUGAAAUUCUCACUGCCAUGAAUGGAGGCAUUUGUGUCAUGCUUGGUACUGACCAAUGUUGCACAUAUGUCCCUGAUAACACCCGAGAUGGGAAAGACUUAGAUCUGAUCCUACAAAAGAUGCAAAAAGUUGUCCAACAGAAUGCCUGAUGGGGAACAGGGCCUUUAAGGACAGAGCAAAGAGGCCUUGUUCGAAUGUUAUCUGAAGCCUAGGCGAGCUAAUGACACACACACAGUCGACACCCACUAUGUUGGCCUACAAAUGCAAAGUAUACAAAUGUGUGAUGAGAAAUAUGAUGACAUUUUAAAUGAUUAACUUAUGGAGUGAUGUUCAGUAAAUGAUCUCUGUUCCGAAAAUCCAUGUGAUUAAGCUCAGAGUGAUGAUUUUGAAGUUAUCCAUUGAAAUUGAUAAUUGACGAAUUAAGAAAGAUGAUUUGUGAUUUUAAUUGUGAUUUUGAAUUAUCCAUUGAAACGGAUAAAAGGAGGGACUGAUGGAGAUAAUUUCCAAACACUGUUAAUGACUUAAGAAUAUAAUAAUGAAGUGCCUUGUAUUAUUAAUUACCUUAUAUGAAUCAUGUACUUAUGUAAGCAGGAACAUGGCUUUUCUGUGUUUCUGCGUGUGUGUAACUUAGAAUAUUAGGUGCCACUUAGUCUGCACAUGUACAAGAGCAUGUUUAGACCAGAGGUGAUAAGAAGGUUCGAACUGUGCUUCUUCCGACCUUGCAAAACUUCCAUCCUUGCCUCGGAUAUCAGAAAUCCACCACGUGGUUAUCUCGCUGAACGCUCAACUUCUGUCUAUAUAAACCUUGUGCGAUGUGUUUAUCAGGGCUUCACUUUCAGCCUUGUGCUGGGAGUGAGCCCGAUUGCAAUUGUUGUUUGUCUAAUAAAUAUACUUAUAUGCAGCUCCGGAGUCCUGAG